GGAUACAAAAUUCAGGUGCAAGCUGAUCGAUUUCUUGCGGCGAUAGACGAAAUCGAUCCACUGAACUUUCAGAAUGACGAAUCUUUCACGGAGUUCCAGAUAUUUCGGAGGCAGGUCAGGCUCAGGACGCUACGUUUCGACUGCCAUCGUUUCCUGAAGUUAGACGUGAAUCUGAUUAUUUGGAAACUGAAGUUCGUCGUCGCAGUGGUUUUGAUACUCAUUCAAAUCACGAAUCCCAUUAAAAAUGAAGUAUCAACGGAGGCAGCCAAUCUC